rnacentral:sRNA from 1 species
GUCUUAUUGUCUCCAUUUUACCAGGGAAGAAAGUGAGGCUGAGGGAGGCUCAGACCCUGCCCAGGUUCUUCCUGACGCACUGAGAAUCUUUUCUCAUCCUCUUGGAUGUGCUUCCCUGGGCUGCGUGGCUGCGUGGGCACAUGCACCUGUGUAUUCUGAGCACCACCCAGGACUUCAACCCUGCUACUAGGAGAAACAACCUCUCAGCCUCCCAAACAGCACCUCCACCCUGGCAUCCAGCUGGUCCCCGGCCUCCCUCCCUUCCCCCACCCAGUCCGCCUCUGCUGUCUUUGCAGAUGCCAUUGGCCUGCAGCCAGAUGCCCGUGGUGUGGCCACAUCUCUGGGGCUCAAUGAGCGUCUCUUUGUUGUCAACCCACAGGAAGUGCAUGAGCUGAUCCCACACCCUGACCAGCUGGGGCCCACUGUGGGCUCUGCUGAGGGGCUGGACCUGGUGAGUGCCAAGGACCUGGCAGGCCAGCUGACGGACCACGACUGGAGCCUCUUCAACAGUAUCCACCAGCCUCAAGGAGCAGAAGAAUCUCAAUUCCUUCUUUGCCGUCAUGUUUGGCCUCAGCAACUCGGCCAUCAGCCGCCUAGCCCACACCUGGGAGCGGCUGCCUCACAAAGUCCGGAAGCUGUACUCCGCCCUCGAGAGGCUGCUGGAUCCCUCAUGGAACCACCGGGUGUACCGACUGGCCCUCGCCAAGCUCUCCCCUCCUGUCAUCC